rnacentral:rRNA from 1 species
GUAGCGGAGGGAGCUAGCGUUAUUCGGAAUCAUUGGGCGUAAAGCGCACGUAGGCGGAUCUUUAAGUCAGAGGUGAAAUCCCAAGGCUCAACCUUGGAACUGCCUUUGAUACUGGGGAUCUUGAGUCCGGGAGAGGUGAGUGGAACUGCGAGUGUAGAGGUGAAAUUCGUAGAUAUUCGCAAGAACACCAGUGGCGAAGGCGGCUCACUGGCCCGGUACUGACGCUGAGGUGCGAAAGCGUGGGGAGCAAACAGG